rnacentral:rRNA from 1 species
GGUUAAGCGACUAAGCGUACACGGUGGAUGCCCUGGCAGUCAGAGGCGAUGAAGGACGUGCUAAUCUGCGAAAAGCGCCGGCGAGGUGAUAUGAACCUUUGACCCGGCGAUGUCCGAAUGGGGAAACCCAGUGUGAUUCGUCACACUAUCGUUAACUGAAUACAUAGGUUAACGAGGCGAACCGGGGGAACUGAAACAUCUAAGUACCCCGAGGAAAAGAAAUCAACCGAGAUUCCCCCAGUAGCGGCGAGCGAACGGGGAGCAGCCCAGAGUCUGAAUCAGCUUGUGUGUUAGUGGAAGCGUCUGGAAAGUCGCACGGUACAGGGUGA